GACGAACGCUGGCGGCGUGCUUAACACAUGCAAGUCGAGCGAUGAAGUUUCUUCGGAAAUGGAUUAGCGGCGAACGGGUGAGGAACACGUGAAGAGUCUGCCCUCCACUUUGGGAUAACACAGGGAAACCUGUGCUAAUACCGAAUAUUGAAACAUAAGUGGCAUCACUGAGUUUUGAAAGAACUUCGGUGGAGGAUGACUUCGCGGCCUAUCAGCUAGUUGGUGAGGUAAUGGCUCACCAAGGCAACGACGGGUAGCCGGCCUGAGAGGGCGACCGGCCACACUGGGACUGAGACACGGCCCAGACUCCUACGGGAGGCAGCAGUGGGGAAUAUUGGGCAAUGGAGGAAACUCUGACCCAGCGACGCCGCGUGCGGGAUGAAGGCCUUCGGGUUGUAAACCGCUUUCAGUAGGGAAGAAGCGAAAGUGACGGUACCUACAAAAGAAGCACCGGCUAACUAUGUGCCAGCCGCCGCGGUAA
rnacentral:rRNA from 1 species